rnacentral:rRNA from 1 species
ACCAGACUCCUACGGGAGGCAGCAGUGGGGAAUAUUGCACAAUGGGGGAAACCCUGAUGCAGCGACGCCGCGUGAGUGAAGAAGUAUUUCGGUAUGUAAAGCUCUAUCAGCAGGGAAGAAGAACCGACCAUAGGGUCGCUAGACGGUACCUGAUUGAGAAGCCCCGGCUAACUACGUGCCAGCAGCCGCGGUAAUACGUAGGGGGCAAGCGUUAUCCGGAUUUACUGGGUGUAAAGGGAGCGUAGACGGCAGCGCAAGUCUGAAGUGAAAUGCCGGGGCUUAACCCCGGAACUGCUUUGGAAACUGUCAGGCUGGAGUGCAGGAGAGGUAAGUGGAAUUCCUAGUGUAGCGGUGAAAUGCGUAGAUAUUAGGAGGAACACCAGUGGCGAAGGCGGCUUACUGGACUGUAACUGGCGUUGAGGCUCGAAAGCGUGGGGAGCAAACAGGAUUAGAUACCCCUGUAC